rnacentral:rRNA from 1 species
GACAGAGGCCUCGAGCGUUAGGCGGAAUCACUGGGCUUAAAGCGUGUGUAGGCGGAUCGUUAAGUACCUUGUGAAAUCCCACGGCUCAACCGUGGAACGGCUGGGUAUACUGGCGGUCUUGGGCCAUUCAGGGGCGACUGGAACAAGCGGUGGAGCGGUGAAAUGCGUAGAGAUGUGGAGGAACACCAGUGGCGAAGGCGACUCUUUGGCCUGUAACUGACGCUGAGGCGCGAAAGCGUGGGGAGCAAACAGG